AGCGGCGCAAGGGUGCGUAACACGUGGGUAAUCUGCCAUGAAGUUUGGAAUAACUCGCUGAAAGGCGAGCUAAUGCCGGAUGUGAAAGCGGCAUCCAAAGCUGCGCUUCAUGAUGAGCCCGCGGCCUAUCAGCUAGUUGGUAAGGUAACGGCUUACCAAGGCUAAGACGGGUAGCUGGUCUGAGAGGACGACCAGCCACACUGGAACUGAGACACGGUCCAGACACCUACGGGUGGCAGCAGUCGAGAAUUUUUCACAAUGGGCGCAAGCCUGAUGGAGCGACGCCGCGUGGGGGAUGAAUGGCUUCGGCCCGUAAACCCCUGUCAUUUGCGACAACUGAUAGUAGCGAAAGAGGAAGGGACGGCUAACUCUGUGCCAGCAGCCGCGGU
rnacentral:rRNA from 1 species